rnacentral:rRNA from 1 species
CCUACGGGCGGCAGCGGUGGGGAAUAUUGGACAAUGGGGGCAACCCUGAUCCAGCCAUGCCGCGUGUGUGAAGAAGGCCCUCGGGUUGUAAAGCACUUUCAGUGAGGAAGAACGCCUGGUGGUUAAUACCCAUCAGGAAAGACAUCACUCACAGAAGAAGCACCGGCUAACUCCGUGCCAGCAGCCGCGGUAAUACGGAGGGUGCGAGCGUUAAUCGGAAUUACUGGGCGUAAAGCGCGCGUAGGUGGCUUGAUAAGCCGGUUGUGAAAGCCCCGGGCUCAACCUGGGAACGGCAUCCGGAACUGUCAAGCUAGAGUGCAGGAGAGGAAGGUAGAAUUCCCGGUGUAGCGGUGAAAUGCGUAGAGAUCGGGAGGAAUACCAGUGGCGAAGGCGGCCUUCUGGACUGACACUGACACUGAGGUGCGAAAGCGUGGGUAGCAAACAGGAUUAGAUACCCGAGUAGUC